AUAACUCCGGGAAACCGGAGCUAAUACCGGAUAGUUCCUUGAACCGCAUGGUUCAAGGAUGAAAGACGGUUUCCGGCUGUCACUUUCAAGAUGGACCGGCGGCGCAUUAGCUAGUUGGUGGGGUAAUGGCUCACCAAGGCGACGAUGCGUAGCCGACCUGAGAGGGUGAUCGGCCACACUGGGACUGAGACACGGCCCAGACUCCUACGGGAGGCAGCAGUAGGGAAUCUUCCGCAAUGGACGAAAGUCUGACGGAGCAACGCCGCGUGAGUGAUGAAGGUUUUCGGAUCGUAAAGCUCUGUUGUUAGGGAAGAACAAGUGCGAGAGUAACUGCUCGCACCUUGACGGUACCUAACCAGAAAGCCACGGCUAACUACGUGCCAGCAGCCGCGGUAAUACGUAGGUGGCAAGCGUUGUCCGGAAUUAUUGGGCGUAAAGGGCUCGCAGGCGGUUUCUUAAGUCUGAUGUGAAAGCCCCCGGCUCAACCGGGGAGGGUCAUUGGAAACUGGGAAACUUGAGUG
rnacentral:rRNA from 1 species